UACGGAGGGUGCGAGCGUUAAUCGGAAUUACUGGGCGUAAAGGGUGCGUAGGUUGUUUGAUAAGCUAGUUGUGAAAUACCAGUGCUUAACAUUGGGGAGUCAACUAGAACUGUUAGACUAGAGUAAAGUAGAGGGUGCUAGAAUUUCCGGUGUAGCGGUGAAAUGCGUAGAGAUCGGAAGGAAUAUCGGUUGCGAAGGCG
rnacentral:rRNA from 1 species